rnacentral:lncRNA from 1 species
GCUGUGCAGUCCUGGUGCUGGAAAUGCAAGUGUGGAAUGCUCCAUGGACCACUGUGACUCAGCCUGUGGCAAGCAGAGGCCAGAAAUGCUGCUGUUAGUGGAAUAUCCAGAAGAAGGGGAAAGUUUGUGAAGGAAAAAAAAGAAUAUUGCAACUCACUGCUAGAGGCGUUAAUACGACGCUAACGAACCGUAGCCUUUCCAGAGCAUAGCUGGCAACAUUAGCACCCAUCUGUGCUGAGUGGGAUGUGCAAGCAGAAGCCAGGGCCGAGCAGCCUCCACCUGUUUGCAGAAAACCUUGCAUUUCCUGUGAAGGAGGAAGUCUGUGCUGUCCCCAUGGAAUGGGAAGGACUUGGAUGCUUCACUAAGACUUCUCCCUUCCCCCUUGAUGAGCAGGUCCUGUGUUGUGUGGAGGCGUGCAGCAAUCUGGUCUGGAUGGAGAAAAUACCUCAGAAAACCCAAGAGGAAUGUUUACUUUGAAAGUUUCUCUCAUGAAAUUGUUUUAUCUUUCUAAUUAAAAAAAUUGCUUUAAAUAUAAAAUAAUGAUAAAUCCUUCUGGGAAAACCAAUUCCAAUGUGAUAAAACUCCUACAGUGUGAAGCAAGAACCACUCAAUUCAACUGCAAGGAGAAGGCAUGUUAUUUAAUCAAACAGAGGGUUAGAGAACAGCAUCAAAUAUGCAUUUUUAAAUUUGUUUCCAUUUCUUUUCUAGUCCAUUUCUGACUGGAUUUCUUUGAUAUUACACAGAUUUGAGUUACAUCUUGUGCAUCUUGUGGAAGAAAAUAUGUGUCCUAAUAGAGCCUUUGAAUAUAGUUAAAACAACUUUAGCAAGGCUACAGUAGGUCAGUGGCAGUGCUUGGAAAAGAAGUUAGGUGAUGUUUUGCCCAGUUCUGUAUAUUUUAAUUAGCAAACUGGCCUGCCUCCCUGAAUUACAAUGGCAUUGUGAUACCUAAAUGUUCAGAAUCCUGAGCUUUAUAUAUUAACAUAAAACAUUUCUUGAACAGACUUAUAGCAAGAAAAUAUUGCAAGAAAUAUUGCAAUUUUCUUAUAUAGAAAGAAAAUAUUGCUAUAGCUUCUUUACCAGUUGUGCCCCAGACUGCUUUUUACAUAGUAUUCAAGGAUGAUCUUGACAACAUAAUUAUCUUUUAGGGACUAUAAAAUACCAGAGAUUAAAAUGGACAGAUCUGGAUAGGGCAAGAAUUUGCCAGUAGGAUGAUGUUCUAAAACAACUUUUGAAAAAUUAACAUGUUAUGAAAAUAAAUUAUUUUUUUAACAUUGUGCUCUUUUAUUU